rnacentral:lncRNA from 1 species
UUUGAGACUUGCCUGGGCAACAUAGUGAGACUCUGUCUCUAUUUAGAAGAAUCAAUAUAAAAGAGUAAGAUAAAGAACUACCCGUAAAUAUGUAUUAAGAGAUUGUUAUGGACUGAAUGUUUGUGUCCCCUCGAAAUUCAUAUGCUGUAGCCCUAACCUCCAAUGUGAUGGUAUUUGAAGGUGGGGCCUUUGAGAAGUACUUAGGUUUAGAUCAGGCCAUGAUAGUGGACGCCUUGCAGUGGAUUAGUUUCCUUAUAAGAGGAGGGACAGAGAGCUCUGUCUUUAUGAGCACACACCAAAGAAAGGCCAUGUGACCAUACAGUGAGAUGUCAGCUGUCUGCAAGCCAAGAAGACGGCCCCACCAGAACCUCACCAUGUUGGCACCCUGAUUUCAGACUUCCAGCCUCCAGAAUGGUGAGAAAAUAACAGCCUGUUGUUUAAGCCACCCAGUCUAUGAUACAUUCUUAAAGCAGCCUGAGGUGACUAAGAGAGAAGUUUACUAGGAAUGGGUAUAGAAAUUUUAUUUAAAUGUAUUUUCUGGGGUUUUUUUUUGUUUUUUUUUUUUUUUUGAGACAGAGCCUCGCUCUGUCACCCAGGCUGGAGUGCAGUGGUGCAAUCUCGGCUCACUGCAACCUCCGCCUCCCGGGUUCAAGCGAUUCUCCUGCCUCAGCUUCCCGAGUAGCUGGGAUUAUAGGCACCUGCCACCAUGCCCAGCUAAUUUUUGUAUUUUUGGUAGAGACGGGGUUUCACCACGCUGGCCAGGGUGGUCUCAAACUCCUGACCUCAGGCGAUUCGCCCGCCUCGGCCUCCCAAAGUGCUGGGAUUACAGGCGUGAGCCACCGCGCCCAGCUGUGAAAUGUAUUUUCUUUUUUUUUUUUUUUGAGACAAAGUCUUGCACUGUCACCCAGGCUGGAGUGCAGUGGCGCGAUCUCGGCUCACUGCAACCUCCAUCUCCCAGGUUCAAGCAAUUCUCCUGCCUCAGCCUCCCAAAUAGCUGGGAUUACAGGCGCCUGCCACCACACCUGGCUAAUUUUUGUAUGUAUUUUGAGACGGAGUCUCGCUCUGUCACCCAGGCUGGAGUGCAGUGGCGUGAUCUUGGCUCACUGCAACCUCUGCCUCCCGGGUUCAAGCGAUUCUCCUGCCUCAGCGUCCUGAGUAGCUGGAACUAUAGAUGCACCCCACCACGCCCAGCUAAUUUUUUGUAUUUUUAGUAGAGUCAGGGUUUCACCGUGUUAGCCAUGAUGGAUUUUUGUAUUUUUAGUAGAGAGAGGGUUUCACCACAUUGGACAGGCUGAUCUCGAACUCGUGACCUCAAGUGAUCUGCCCACCUCGGCCUCCCAAACUGCUGGGAUUACAGGCGUGAGACACCACGCCUGGCCAAAAGGUAUUUUCGUUGUUUUUUUUUUUUUUUGGUUUUUUGAGACAAGGUCUCACUCUGUCACCAAGGCUGGAGUGUAGUGGUGUAAUCUCGGCUCACUGCAAUCUCUGCCUCUUGGGUUCAAGCGAUUCUCGGGCCUCAGCCUCCCUAGUAGCUGGAAUUACAGGCGCAUCCCAUCAUGCCAGGCUAAUUUUUGUAUUUUUAGUAAAGAUGAGGUUUCGCCAUGUUGACCAUGCUGGUCUUGAACUCCUGACCUCAAGUGAUCCGCCCACCUUGGUCUCCCAAAGUGCUGAGAUUACAGGUGUGAGCCAUCACUCCCAGACUAAAUGUAUUUUCAACAUUAAUAAAGGUGAUUAUAUAUAUAGUUUCUCUUUUGACUUAAUAAUUACAUUACAAAAUUUCUUUCUUUUUUUUUGAGACGGAGUCUCACUCGGUCCUCCAGGCUGGAGUCCAGUGAUGCGAUCUUAGCUCAUUGCAACCUCUGUCUCGGUUCGAGUGAUUCUCCUGCCUCAGCCUCUCAAGUAGCUAGGAUUACAGACACCCGCUACCACACUCAGCUAAGUUUUUUUUUUUUUUUUUUUUUAAUGUAGAGACAGGGUUUCGCUAUGUUGGCCAGACUGGUCUCAAACUCCUGACCUCAAGUGAUCUGCCCGCCUUGGCCUCCCAAAGUGCCAGAUUACAGGCGUGAGCCACUGCGUGUGGCCCAAAAUUUCUUAAUAUAGCACCAUCUUUGAUUCUUCAAUUUCUGGAAUAAACUCCACUUGAUCUUGUGUAUUAUUCUUUUUUUUUUUUUUUUUUGAGAUAGAGUUUCACUCUUGUUGCCCAGGCUAGCGUGCAAUGGCACAAUCUCUGCUCACUGCAACCUCUGCCUCCCGAGUAGCUGGGAUUAUAGGCGUGCACCACCACGCCCAGCUAAUUUUUGUAUUUUUAGUAGAGACAAGGUUUCACCAUGUUGGCCAGGCUGGUAUCAAACUCCUGACCUCAGGUGAUCUGCCCAGCUUGGCCUCCCAAAGUGCUGGGAUUACAGGUGUGAGCCACCAUGCCCAGCCUGCUGGCACACAUUCUAAAGAGAGCCAACUGGCACAACCUGAGGACUUCUGAGAGGACCAGAGCACCAGUGGCCUCCCCAUCCACCUUCCCUCCCUUCUCCUCCAGGUUACCUAAGGGAACCCCAGAGGAAUUCAAGGAGGAUGGGGUGAUUCUGAAGCUACGGUCCAGCAUGGCAUGCUAUGGUCUUGAAGCCUAUGAAAUUCACUCUUCAACAAACUUGGCAUCUACGUUAAGCAUGUGAAUGUACAGAGUUAUCAAUCAACAAUAGCCUUUAAGAUUAUUGUAAUCCCCUAAGUACUUCGGCCCCAGGUAGCCACCCACUGCUGGAUGUCAGAGGACAUCACGGUGCUCUUUCCUGCCUGCACCCCUAGUCUGGAAUGCUUACCCCACAUCUCUGCUGAGUGAACUCCUUCCUAUUCAUGCUUCAAGACCCAGCUCAGUCCUGGCUCAGCUGACCCCUUGGUUCCUGUGUCUGUUCCCUGCUGGGCUGUGAGUGUUUUUAUAUUUUGUUUUUCUUAUGUCCAUUUAGAUUUGAAUAUGAAUGUUUUAUUUUAUUUUACUUAUUUUUUUAUGUUUCUUUGAGACAGAGUCUUGCUCUGUUACCUAGGCUGGAGUGCAGUGGUACAAUCUUGGCUCACUGCAACCUCCGCCUCCUGGGCUCAAGCAAUUUUCAUGCCUCAGCCUCCCAGUAGCUGGGACCACAGGCACCCACCAUCAUGCCCGACUAAUUUUUUUUGUAUUUUUAGUGAUGGCCUCAAGCGAUCCUCCCGCCUCAGCCUCCCAAAGUGUUGGGAUUACAGGCGUGAGCCACCACAGCCAGCCUCGAAUGUGAGUGGUUUUUGUUGUUGUUGUUGUUGUUGUUUUUUGAGACAGAGUUUCGCUCUUGUUGCCUAGGCUGGAGUGCAGUGGCACAAUCUCGGCUCACUGCAACUUCCGCCUCCCAGGUUCAAGCGAUUCUCCUGCCUCAGCCACCCGAGUAGCUAGGACUACAGGCAUGUGCCACCACGCUCAGCUACUUUUGUUUUUUGUUUGUUUGUUUGUUUGUUUUAGUAGAGAUGGGGUUUCACUUUGUUGGUUAGGCUGGUCUUGAACCCCUGACCUCAGGUGAUCCGCCCACCUAGGCCCCCCAAAGUAUUGGGAUUACAGGAGUGAACCACUGCGCCCGGCCUCGAAUGUGAGUGCGUUAAAACCCAGAUCGGGUCUGAUUGGGGUUGGCACCCAGGUGGCUCCAUAAUUGUUGCUGUCCUGAAUUAUUGCCCUCUUUGCUACUUGGACCGAACCCCAUCUUGGGACCACCGACUUCCUCUGACUCCUGGUCAGGCUCCUGGGCGGCAAAUCCUGGCCCCUGGUAUGGUCCCGCCUGCCUCUCUGUCCCCUUGUCUACCUGACCAGACCUCUGAACUUCAAGGCCUGGAUGCCCUGUCUCUCCUCCUGUGAGGCUCUGUCCUACCUCAUGUUGGGACCUAGGGCGCUCUGUUGUACAACUCCAGGGAGCACCAUUGUGUCUUCUGUAAAUGGCAGCUCCUGGAACACAGUGAGCCCUCAAUAGGGCAUGUCAGCUGUGGGCUCAGACAUCCUUUGGGUCUGGCAGUGCUCCAUUUCAUGUGCCCUGUCACCCUCACCCCUCUUUUUCCAUCCCACUUCUCCUAGCUGGACCAAGCUAGGCGUCAUCUACAAGCCCGGUGUGCUGACCAGGGAAUGUGUGGGGCUUGGGGCAUGGGGACAAUAAAUAACAUCACUUUUCUCAUUUCCCAGGCAGGUAACCAAUUGAAAGAUAAGAUACCAUAGACAGACAUCAACUUUAUUCCUGACUAAAGCUCAAAAGAAGGGCGUGGCGUAGAUUUACAGUGACCAUCCUAACACUCACGCGCAGAGUCACACGGUCCCACACUGGGCUGGACCAGCCCUGCUAAGCCCACAAGAGGGAGAAGAGUGGAAAUCCCCUCAUCUCAAAGGCAACAUGAGAUUGGAGAAUGUACUCUCAAAUCCCCAAACAGCAACAGAAUUGUUCUGCUUGCUUCAGAGCAGAGGCUCCGCAGCCCUUUCCAGACCUCUCCCAAGCGUGGAAAUGGACGAAGGGCUGGAUGGGGCUCAGAGGGGAGGUCAGGCGGGACUCCCUCAGACAGCAGCUGGGGUUCCUCUGUUCCAGGCCCAGCUCUCACUGAAACAGGAGAGGGUGUGAAGGAAUGGAUUUGGAACUGUCAAGAACUCCUUCCUUAGUGGGCAGUGGAGCAGUGUCCACUGGCCUGCAGCCAGGCACCUCUCUCCCCCAGCCUGGGUCACUGGCAAGGGAGCAAGAAGAGUUCUGGGCUCACAGCAGGCAGUGGAGUGUAGUCACAGAGCCUGAUCCGGCUUGAAAUCCCAGAUCCUUUGCUUACUAGGCUGUGUGGCCUUAGGUGAGUUACUUAAUCUCUCCGUGCUUCAGUUUCUGCAUAUGUAAAACAGGGAUAAUAUCUAGCUCACUGGGUUAUGAUGAGACGUAAGUAACUUCAUACAAACCCCUUAGGACUGAUGCCUGGGCAUUUCUAAGUACUCAGUGAAGGCAAGCUGCUGUUUUUAUGGGCCCAGGUCUAGGAAAAAAGAAUCAAACAGCCAGGGGAAAGGGGAUGCUCUCCACUGUAUAUUAAGUUCUAUCAUAGGGACCAUUUUAGCUAAACACAGAAAAACAGAGGAGGGGGCUGGGUGUGGUGGCUCAUGCCUGUAAUCCCAGACCUUAGGAGGCUGGA